AUUGAACGCUGGCGGCAGGCCUAACACAUGCAAGUCGAACGAGUGGCGGACGGGUGAGUAAUGUCUGGGAAACUGCCUGAUGGAGGGGGAUAACUACUGGAAACGGUAGCUAAUACCGCAUACCAUCGGAUGUGCCCAGAUGGGAUAAGCUAGUGGGGGGGGUAAAGGCUCACCUAGGCCACGAUCCCUAGCUGGUAUGAGAGGAUGACCAGCCACCCAGGAACUGAGACACGGUCCAGACUCGUACGAGAGGCAGCAGUGGGGGAUAUUGCACAAUGGGCGCAAGCCUGAAGCAGCCAUGCCGCGUGUAUGAAGAAGGCCUUCGGGUUGUAAAGUACUUUCAGCGGGGAGGCGUUACCCGCAGAAGAAGCACCGGCUAACUCCGUGCCAGCAGCCGCGGUAAUUC
rnacentral:rRNA from 1 species